rnacentral:rRNA from 1 species
UACAUGGGGUGCAAACGUUGCUCGGAAUUAUUGGGCGUAAAGCGCACGUAGGCGGUUCGUUAAGUCGGAUGUGAAAGCCCUCGGCUCAACUGAGGAAGUGCACCCGAAACUGGCGAGCUUGAGUACGAAAGAGGAUCGCGGAAUUCCCGGUGUAGAGGUGAAAUUCGUAGAUAUCGGGAGGAACACCGGUGGCGAAGGCGGCGAUCUGGGUCGAUACUGACGCUGAGGUGCGAAAAGCGUGGGGGAGCAAACAGGG